GUUGGAUAAAAAUAUAAAUGGUAGCAACAAAACCAGGUUCCAGCUCCACGAGAUUUUCACAAAAUACCUGGCUUCCUGAUUAAGGUUCAAGCUGGUGCCAUGACCCUGCUGGUUGCCCUUAACAACGGAUCUGGUCUGACGUCAUCAUUACAGAAGGCGCACUGAGGAUCCGGUUUGCAAGGUAUUAACACCUCCUUCACAAACUUCAAAUGGCUCUCAGAAUUCUUAUCUCAGAACAUCACACCCACCUUCUGUUAUCACCACUGGUUUCAGGUUCAGCUCUCUUGCACUUCAGGUGGUAAAAAAAGAUGAGAUGCCACAGACAGCCACACAGACUCAGUUUCAUUUGGCCUAACAGAUUGCAGUUUGCAUGUGGCUUCAGAAUGGCCUCCUGCCUGGCGGCGCUGGUCACAUCUUGGGCGGCUUGCUGGAUAUUGCUGCUCAGCUUUUUUUGCCGCUGUUGAUGUGCAACGACGUACCUAUUAAGUAUGUGAUAGAGCUAACAUGGAUCUGUCUGUUGCUAAGUAUAAAUGCAACACAACAGGUCUUUGUAGUUUCAAUUGUAGCAGCUUGUUUUGCAUAUCAUUCCUGAUAACAUGUAAAAUCAUCUUACAUUUUCAGCCAAGAAAUAAGGACUACACAACUGAGAAUGUAACAAAUAAUUUGGGCAAGCAUAUAUUGCACCUGAAAUACUUAAUGGCUAAAUGUGUAAAAGUCUAUAUCCAUGUGUUUGUGGUGUGAAUAUGUAUUAAAAUCUUUGUUGGCUUCACUUGCAACAGAGGGCUUAUAGUGUGAACUUAAGUAAACAAUCCUGUUCACUGUAGUCCUUUUUUCAGUUACUAAACAGAAAGAAAAAGUCUAAACAGAUGUCACCAGGCUAUGGGAUGAACUUUGACAUGGGAGAACAGAAACCUUUGGCUAACCCUGAGAACAGCUAACUUCAGAAGUUUCUUAGAAAACACAGCUCAAAUGGCAGGCACUAAAUCACAAAGUGAUAGAGCACUGCUAGUUGCAAAGUCCUUCUUGUAAAGUCUUUGAACUCUUUUGAAAGUGAACCAGCUUGUCUGACUAUGUCUAAUAUCAUGUAUUAUGCUAUCAUAGUUUAAAGGUUUCUUUGCAUG